GCGGUGCUGCUGCCGCAGCCGCAGCUCGGCCCCGGGGCCGCCCCGCCUGCGCUCCCGCGGGCAGCCGGGAGCCGUAGUUCCGCUCCGGGCGCUCCGACUACAACUCCCGGGAGCCCGCGGGGAGCCCAAGGGGUGCCCACGGGGAGCCCCAGGCCCGGCUCGGCUCGGGGGCGCAGGACACACAAACUCUGCUGGCUUUGCCCUUGCUGAGCUCAGAGACACCUGAGUGAGGGAAAACCUUGGCAGCACUAAUACCCUGCACUCUCCUGUCAGCCCUGUCCUGGUUUUCUGAGGAAAUCAGCAGGAAUUGCUCUUUGCCCACUGGAUGCCGCUGUUCCACAGAAAUAUUCAUGAACUUCCUUCAGCACCUUCUG